CUCAAAGGGUUUGGGUCUGAAGGCCACGCUGUCCAUCAAGUCUGACCUGCUGCUCAGUAACUCAACUAUUCUGGAUAUAUAAAGACAAACUAGCUCUGGAGGAAACACUGCCCCCAACCUGUCUGCUCUGCACGAAGACUGCUUAUAGUUUCAAAUUCAUCUGUGUGUCUGCAUUCAUAAAGACCCUUCAUACAUCUGUAAGAAG